UCCAUCAUGAAGACUCUAGUGUGUGCUCUUAUUGUGCUGCUUCUCUGCAGUGCCUCAGUGCACUCGCUGACAUGCUACACCUGUGUGGAUGGGGACUGCAAGACCCCAACCGAAUGUCCAGCCUCAAGCAAUUUCUGCAAAACAGUUUCAACAGCCACUGUGUUCAGCCGGACAUGUGAGGAGUUCUGUGUUCCGGGAGUGAACAUCCACUGCUGCACUUCUGAUCUGUGUGACUAAUCUCUCAACAUCACCAGUCCUGCUGAUCGACUGUCCUUGAGUCAGGCACUCAUGUUCAUUGUAAUAGCGUAGCAGGAAAAAUAUCAUUGGGUUACUCUAGGUGUAUAAUUUUUCUAAUGACUUUUUUCCAUCUGACUCAACAUGGUUUGCUUUACAUAACAUUACUUAAUAAAGGAAUGUCUAAUACGUGUGGUUUCUGUCCCAGAUCGGCA
rnacentral:lncRNA from 1 species